CCUUGUGAACAAGAGAAGAAAAUAAGGAAAGAAGAAGAAGAGAAGGAUAGCAAAAGAAGAAGAGGAGGACAGUGGAAGAUGGAGAGAAAAAUAAGAGGAGAUAAGGAGGGACAUCUCGCUGCAAUCGAUGGAGCAUCGGACCGGCCAGGUGAGCUAGUUCGAUCUUCGUCCAUCAAGGACUUCACCUCCUCAAUAUUUGAGUGAGCUGAUUCAAUCAUCCAUCGAGGUCUCCACCUCUUCAUCAGUACCGCCAGCCUGU
rnacentral:lncRNA from 1 species